rnacentral:lncRNA from 1 species
CUAAAUCCUGCCCAGUGAUUUUUAAAAAGAAAAUUACAGGCCUUCCCGUGUUCCCGGCAAUAUGCAAAUAUCGCGGCCGGGCCUCCCAGGUCCGACUGCCGAAGCUCGGGGCUGCAAGCCCAAUACCCGCAGGGCUGCCUGGGAACGGACCGACCGUCCUGGGGCGCUCAGCCUUUCUCCCCAUGGAGGAACCGCGCAACCUCCCUGGGCUCCCCCGCUGCCCGGUGCCGGAGUCGCUGUCCCCUCCUCGCCUCCCUCUAGUGAUUGCAAGGAUGGUGAAGACUCCAUCAGCCUGGGUCUUAGACUGAGGACAACGUGGAGUGGAGACCUCUGCUGACUUUUGAUGGAGAUGUACUGUGAGCAAGAAAUAAACCUUUUUUG